rnacentral:lncRNA from 1 species
CAGAGUGAGACUGGGAAGGACCCACUGGUCAAAACCAGAGGAGGCGGGAGAAGACCAGAGCAGGAGGGGCGAGGGGAGAACUCGUCCUCUGGAACAAGAUGCGAGCAGGUGGGACGUUGCUCAGUCUUCCUGCCCCAGCAGCCUCUGCGUCCCUUUUGGUAUGAGAUCUUGGAAGGUUCCCAGGCACAGGCCUGUGAAAGGUUUGGGGUUGUAGGAUGGGGGCAGGUGGAGGGGGUGGCAGGACUCCCCCUCAGGUCUUCCCACUGCCUGCACAGGCAGGGACAUGGCAGGGUCGGGUCCUGGGCCCUGGUUUCUCUCUGCAUGUCCUGAGCGCAUCUUCCCAUUGCUGUGCAGCGGGACCUCCACCCCGAGGGGGACCUUUGCUGCAGCAGGCAGGUGGGGCUGGGGCAUUUCACUUCCGAAGUGUCGUCAAGGACAGUGGUGGACUCACAGGAUAAGCAGGGUGGUCCAUCUCGGGCCCAGAAUCGGUACAUCUCAUGAGUUAUAGGAACUCAAACAGGAGAACGUGCCCUUGACUUGUGCUCCAUGUUCUCUUGACCCCGAUGGUGGGACCCCUGAUUCCUGCUCUGGUUGUCACCAGGAAAGUUGUGGGUGUUUGCAGGAACUUGGUGGGGAGGGGCGGAGGGCAAGGUGUAAGGGGCAGUACACGGAGUGGGGAGUAUCCGCAGGGACGGAGGGAAGAGAGGAGAAAGGAGGCCCGAGCUUCACGGGGAACGUUCCCUGGAGGACGGCUGGGUUCCUGGAGCCAGGUGGUUCCAGGCUUGUGCAGUGUCCUUAGCACCCAGGCUGGUAGUCCCCCUCAGCCUCCCCGAGUUCUGUCCUUCUCUGGUUCCUUUGGAAAUUGCUUGAGAGAAAACCCCAGGAGUCACAAUGACAACUACAGUAACAAAACCACCUGUCCCCCAAGUAGAUCUGAGGGCUUCGGGAGGAAGAGCACCUCUGGAAGGAGCCUGGGGUUUCCUGUUUGAGUUGGGGCAGUGACGAUGGGAUUAUGCUUCCUGGGUUCUUGAAUCAAGGACCUGAGAUUGCAGAGGGGCCCAGGAAAGCUCUCUGAACGCAGGGGAGGCCAGCGCAGGAGGCUCUGAACAGGCCUUGCUGCUGCUGCUGGAACCCCGGGGCUUUCUUCCUGGGCCAGAGAGGGGGAGGCCUGGGGGCCUCAUGGCGAAGGGGCGUCUCCUGUCUCUGGUCUCCUCUCCAGACCCCUGUUCCCCACCUGGUAUGUACGUGGAGUCUGGACUCUGCCCAGUACCUGCCCUGGAUGAUGGGUCCCUGAGCCCUGUUCCCAGCAGCUUCCUAGGAAACAAGGUUCCAGAAUGGCCCCGAGCCCUCAGGAAAGGGCAUCACUGUCCUUGUCUUCUUCUCCGCGUGUUUGCUUCAGCUGGUGGAUCCUUAUGGUCGCUCAUGCUUAUAAGAAGAAUUGAAAACGUUUCAGUGAGAGGGUGGAGUCUCACCCGGGGAGAGGAACCAGCAUGACCUUCUGAAUCCUCUGCCUGUCCUGCUUCCAGGGGCCUCAACGUCAGUGUCCCCAAGCUGUGGUGCUCAUGUCCCCACAGAACACCCGCUGUGCAUAGCCCUGUCUCUGUGAAGGUCACUGGGAAGGGCCAACCAAGGCUAUUCCACAGCCAGUCAGCUGGGGGUGACUGCUACUGCUACUCUUCAUGCAAAUCUGAAAAAGCCAGGGACUUCUUCAUUAUUGUAACUGUAACAAACAUGGACUCUGUUUGAAUAAGGACAUUCACUUCCAUCCGAAAAUUGUCAAAAUACACAAAUUUAGUUACAAGACACUUUACUGCCAUCUGCCCAAACUGUAGUAAACACACACAUUUCUAUCUUUGCAGUGAGACAAC